UACGUAGGGACCAAGCGUUGUUCGGAUUUACUGGGCGUAAAGGGCGCGUAGGCGGCUUUAUAAGUCGGGGGUGAAAGCCUGUGGCUCAACCACAGAAUUGCCUUCGAUACUGUAGAGCUUGAGACCGGAAGAGGUAAGUGGAACUGCGAGUGUAGAGGUGAAAUUCGUAGAUAUUCGCAAGAACACCAGUGGCGAAGGCGGCUUACUGGUCCGGUUCUGACGCUGAGGCGCGAAAGCGUGGGGAGCGAACAGG
rnacentral:rRNA from 1 species